ensembl:snRNA U6 U6 spliceosomal RNA
GCUCCAUUGGCAGCAGACGCUAAAAUUGGAACAGUACAGAGAAGACUAGCCUGGCCUAUGUACAAGGAUGAAAUGCAAAUUUGUGAAGCUGUUCCUCCUCUC